AUUGAACGCUGGCGGCAUGCUUUACACAUGCAAGUCGAACGGUAACAGUCCUUCGGGUGCUGACGAGUGGCGAACGGGUGAGUAAUGCAUCGGAACGUACCCAGAGGUGGGGGAUAACGCAGCGAAAGCUGUGCUAAUACCGCAUGUGAUCUGAGGAUGAAAGCGGGGGACCGAGCAGCAAUGUUUGGCCUCGCGCCUUUGGAGCGGCCGAUGUCGGAUUAGCUAGUUGGUGGGGUAAAGGCCUACCAAGGCGACGAUCCGUAGCUGGUCUGAGAGGACGACCAGCCACACUGGGACUGAGACACGGCCCAGACUCCUACGGGAGGCAGCAGUGGGGAAUUUUGGACAAUGGGCGCAAGCCUGAUCCAGCAAUGCCGCGUGCGGGAAGAAGGCCUUCGGGUUGUAAACCGCUUUUGGCAGGAACGAAACGGUGUCCGCUAAUACCGGGCGCUAAUGACGGUACCUGCAGAAUAAGCACCGGCUAACUACGUG
rnacentral:rRNA from 1 species